rnacentral:rRNA from 1 species
UACGUAGGGGGCAAGCGUUGUCCGGAAUUAUUGGGCGUAAAGAGCGCGUAGGCGGUCCGAUAAGUCGGCUGUGAAAGUCAGGGGCUCAACCCUUGGAAGCCGGCCGAUACUGUCGGACUAGAGUCCGGAAGAGGCGAGUGGAAUUCCCGGUGUAGCGGUGAAAUGCGCAGAUAUCGGGAGGAACACCAAUGGCGAAGGCAGCUCGCUGGGACGGUACUGACGCUGAGGCGCGAAAGCGUGGGGAGCAACAGGG